rnacentral:rRNA from 1 species
UGGCCGUAAACAAUGUGCGUUAGGUGUGUCGGUAACCACGUGUUACUGAUGCGCCGAAGAGAAAUCGUGAAACGCACCACCUGGGAAGUACGGUCGCAAGGCCGAAACUUAAAGGAAUUGGCGGGGGAGCACCACAACAGGUGGAGCCUGCGGUUUAAUUGGAUUCAACGCCGGACAUCUCACCGGAUAAGACAGCUGAAUGAUUGUCAAUCUGAAGGUUUUACAUGACUAGCUGAGAGGAGGUGCAUGGCGUCAGUGACU